GAGGACACAAAGAAGUCAAUGUAUGGAUACUAUGUAUUAUUCAAUAUGAUAAAAAAAUCUGUUAAUUUGAUAAUAAUUAAAAAAUAUACAGCAAAACCACAACAGAAAAGGGAAAAGGAAGCAUAUAAAUGCACAGAGAGUAAAGAACAGAAGCUGAUAAGCUCCGCGAUGUAAGAGGGGUAGAAAGAGUUCUGCUUAAAAUUUCUAUAUUUAAAGGUAGGAGGAACAAAAGUUAAAUAGCUCCAAGUCACUCUUGCAUAAAGUGGUUAUGGUGAGUGAAAGCCAUAU